rnacentral:misc_RNA from 1 species
GAUGAAGAACGCAGCGAAAUGCGAUAAGUAGUGUGAAUUGCAGAAUUCAGUGAAUCAUCGAAUCUUUUAACGCACAUUGCGCCCCUUGGUAUUCCAUGGGGCAUGCCUGUUCGAGCGUCAUUUGUACCUUCAAGCUUUGCUUGGUGUUGGGUGUUUGUCUCGCCUUUGCGUGUAGACUCGCCUUAAAAUAAUUGGCAGCCGGCGUAUUGAUUUCGGAGCGCAGUACAUCUCGCGCUUUGCACUCAUAACGACAGCGUCCAAAAGUACAUUUUACACUCUUGACCUCGGAUCAGGUAGGGAUACCCGCUGAACUUAAGCAUAUCAAUAAGCGGAGGA